UACGAAGGGGGCUAGCGUUGCUCGGAAUCACUGGGCGUAAAGCGCACGUAGGCGGAUUGCUAAGUCAGGGGUGAAAUCCUGGAGCUCAACUCCAGAACUGCCUUUGAUACUGGCGAUCUUGAGUCCGGGAGAGGUGAGUGGAAUUCCUAGUGUAGAGGUGAAAUUCGUAGAUAUUAGGAAGAACACCAGUGGCGAAGGCGGCUCACUGGCCCGGUACUGACGCUCAUGUGCGAAAGCGUGGGGAGCAAACAGG
rnacentral:rRNA from 1 species